AUUGAACGCUGGCGGCAUGCCUAACACAUGCAAGUCGAACGGCAGCACAGCAGUAGCAAUACUGUGGGUGGCGAGUGGCGGACGGGUGAGGAAUGCGUCGGAAUCUGCCCAGUUGUGGGGGAUAACUAGCCGAAAGGUUAGCUAAUACCGCAUACGACCGAGAGGUGAAAGCGGGGGACCGUAAGGCCUCGCGCGAUUGGAUGAGCCGACGCCGGAUUAGCUGUUGGUGGGGUAAAGGCCUACCAAGGCGACGAUCCGUAGCUGGUCUGAGAGGAUGAUCAGCCACACUGGAACUGAGACACGGUCCAGACUCCUACGGGAGGCAGCAGUGGGGAAUAUUGGACAAUGGGCGCAAGCCUGAUCCAGCAAUGCCGCGUGUGUG
rnacentral:rRNA from 1 species